UACGUAGGGUCCGAGCGUUAAUCGGAAUUACUGGGCGUAAAGCGUGCGCAGGCGGCUUUGCAAGACAGAUGUGAAAUCCCCGGGCUUAACCUGGGAACUGCAUUUGUGACUGCAUGGCUGGAGUGCGGCAGAGGGGGGUGGAAUUCCGCGUGUAGCAGUGAAAUGCGCAGAUAUCAGGAGGAACACCGAUGGCGAAGGCAGGUCUCUGGGCAUUAACUGACGCUGAGGAGCGAAAGCGUGGGGAGCGAACAGG
rnacentral:rRNA from 1 species